AGUGAACGCUGGCGGUAGGCCUAACACAUGCAAGUCGAGCGAAAGCACAGUAAGAGCUCGCCUCUAAGGGUAGCGAGUGGCGGACGAGUGAGACAUACAUAAGCAUCUAAUUAUUCUUGGGUGAUAACGUGGGGCAACAUACACUACUACCUCAUACGACCUACGGCUUAAAUCAAGAGUUCUACACACCUUGCCUGUUUCAUAGAGACGGCGCCGGAUUAGCUAGUUGGCGUGGUAAAGGCACACCAAGGCGACGAUCCGUAGCUGGUCUGAGAGGAUGAUCAGCCACACUGGAACUGAGACACGGUCCAGACUCCUACGGGAGGCAGCAGUGGGGAAUAUUCGGCAAUGGGCGCAAGCCUGAUGCAGCCAUACCGCGUGAGUGAAGAAGGUCUUCGGGUUGUAAAGCUCUUUUGUUGGGAAAGAAGAGCAGUGGGUGAAUCUCUCGAUGUUCUGACGGUACCCAAAGAAUAAGCACCGGCUAACUUCGUG
rnacentral:rRNA from 1 species